rnacentral:rRNA from 1 species
UACAGAGGGUGCAAGCGUUAAUCGGAAUUACUGGGCGUAAAGCGUGCGUAGACGGUUAUGUAAGUCAGGUGUGAAAGCCCCGGGCUCAACCUGGGAAUUGCAUUUGAGACUGCAUAGCUAGGGUGCGGAAGAGGGAAGCGGAAUUUCCGGUGUAGCGGUGAAAUGCGUAGAUAUCGGAAGGAACAUCAGUGGCGAAAGCGGCUUCCUGGUCCAGCACCGACGUUCAGGCACGAAAGCGUGGGGGGCAAACAGG